rnacentral:tRNA from 2 species
UGGGGUGUAGCCAAGCGGUAAGGCAGCGGGUUUUGAUCCCGUCAUCGCAGGUUCGAUCCCUGCCACCCCAGCCA